AGGGAUUUUCGGUAGGUGAACCUGCGGAAAGGAUCAUUA
rnacentral:rRNA from 1 species